GCCGAUACUCUGGCGAAAGAAGCUGCUUCAUCUGCUGGCCCUUUCCUCCCCUGACUGUCACAGCCGAGGACCUCAACAAGCACAUCAAAAGAGAAAUCUACACAAAUUGGCAACAAGAGUGGACAGUGUAUUGCCAAUAUAAAAAUCCCCCAAUGUCCAUAUUCCCUCAAUUUUCUGAUCUACCACGAGCAGAUCAAGUAAAAUUAACCAGGCUGUGCAUUGGGCACACGUCUUUCUCCCACCAAUAUAUAAUCAAGAAAGUCCAACCCCAACCUGCAUAUCUUGUAAUGUCCCUCUUUCAGUUAAACAUGUUUUAAUAACUUGCCCUUCAUAUCACCAAUUAAGAUCCAAAAUUUUCCCUCCACUUUCUGAUCUCCAUACCAUCCUUUCAAAGUAUUUUCGUAAAAUCCCCCUAUUUUUCAAACAAAUUAAUCUCCAAAUUUAAUGUAUUCAUUCCUUGUCCUAACUUUUCAUUUUGCACUACCUUUUGUGACCCCUACUUUUCAAAUUUUUAAAUUCUGUACUAUAUUUUGAUCUCUCCUCUAAGGUGUUAAUGGCUCUAUUGUUAAAAGCACCAAUAAACGUAUAUACCAACCAACCAUACAUACAUAGAGUGAGAGAUCGAGAUCGGUCCGACCGCACGCGCGCGAUUGUGCUCCGGCGAAUUUUCGAUUUUUCGAGUCGAUCUGGCGCGAAAGUUUGAAUGAAACUUAUAUCGGUUUGUGCAGUUUUUCGUGCCCUUUCCAAAGGGUCCUUUUGAAUCCUUGUAUGACCUCGUACUGGACCUUUAUCCCCUUUUGUUUUUUGCGAAAUUGUCAUUGCUUUCCUUAAAAAUAAUUUCUAUGUGAUCACAAAACUAUAAUCGCGAGUGAAAUUGUGCUGUGUUUCCAUGGAUACCGUCGCGGCGGAAAAAUCAUAGGCUACGCUUCCAGUCUUGUUUACUCUCCUCUCCCACCUCUUCACGAUGAAGCGAGGCAGGAAACAAAAACGCUCAUCGAAAAUGGACGGCUCUUCAGACGAAUCAUCCUCUUCAAAAAUUAGCAAACAGCUGACUCCCUCCUCUCAAUCACUCCCCACUGAUCCUCAUCCUACGGCCGCCUCCAUGAUGCCCCAGGAUGACAUCACCCAAUCCAUCGCCCAGCCUAUUACUCCUACUAUGCAGUCCGUGGUUACUGAUAAGACCAUGCCCCCCUCUCCUGCCGCUCCGUCUACUUCCUACUCUACUGCGUGUAAGAGCGCACAGAACUCAAUGACAACGAUUACAGGUUGUCCCUGCGUCAAAUAUUCUGUAUGCCUCCAAAAUUUCUAAUAAUCGAAUAUGCAUCUAUUUAUCAUCUGAAAAGUUAGUUGAUAAUGCUUGCAAUUCAAAAUUUAUCAACACUACUGUCGGCCCCCUUCCCAUCAGGCGACUCAUUAAUCCUGCUUUCC
rnacentral:lncRNA from 1 species